GCAUCACAUGAUCACACAGUGGCGCUAGCAAAUGGAACAGCUGCAAGUUAAAGUUCAGGCCGUUCAUCCAUUAUUUGUGGUUUAUGAUUUUGGGCUGGUGUGUGUCAUUCCUUUGGGUCUGGAAGGAAUAUCAUGAUGAUGAUGGAUCAUCGGGUGACUGGCGAGAUGAUGGUGCAGCAGCGUCUUGUUUGAAAAUGAGCUGCCUCUCCACAUACAUGAGGGGCUGAAGUGACUGGUGGUCUUCCAUGUUCAUUGGACAUAUGCACAGCAAGAUCUUGCAUAGUUAAUAGAAACUUAAGGGGGAAGAUGACUGUUUUUCAGCAGGCUUAUAAAGAGGUGAUCCAAGACCUGAGAGGGAACAAUGUGCAGGGAACUGAAAUACAGUGAAACCCUCAUCAGUGCUCUUUGACAUGAGAUUAACCUUAGGUAACAUUCGAUUUUGAUGACCUGUCAGUAACCUCAUUGUUAAAUUACAAGCAUGCAAGAAUCCACUUCUUGGCAAAGAGACCUUGAAUGGGAGAUUCACUGUGUGCAGACCUGCAUCUGUAUGCCGUUGUAUCCAUCACCACUCACAGAAACAUGCCUCUCCAUAUGUCAGGGGAAGUCUGGAUGAGGAUCUCCAGCACUGGAAGAAGUGCAGCAGUUGCAUAAGAGGUUCAUCUGCCAGUGCUACAGACGGUGCGAUGGGUAAACUACCUCAUCAUUUUCCGCCACAAGAUACCGGUCUUGCAACAUUAGCCUUAGAAAUGUAUGUCUGAUAAAUAUAGAUUAAUAUCCCUUUAGGUAUCAUUAUUAUGAUGCUUGAAGUGUGAGUUGGCCUAAAUGAAUGACCUGUAUUUGAAUUAUAUAUAAGAAAUUUUGAACCGUGCAACGGUUCUUCUCU